rnacentral:rRNA from 1 species
UACGUAGGGUGCGAGCGUUGUCCGGAAUUAUUGGGCGUAAAGAGCUCGUAGGCGGUGUGUCACGUCGGCCGUGAAAACCUGCAGCUUAACUGUGGGCGUGCGGUCGAUACGGGCAUCACUGGAGUUCGGCAGGGGAGACUGGAAUUCCUGGUGUAGCGGUGAAAUGCGUAGAUAUCAAGUGGAACACCAGUGGCGAAGGCGAGUCCCUGGACAACUCCUGACACUGAGGCACGAAAGCUAGGGGAGCAAACGGG